CUAGUUCCGGUGAGAGUGGCGCACGGGUGCGUAACGCGUGAGCAACCUGCCCAUAUCAGGGGGAUAGCCCGGAGAAAUCCGGAUUAACACCGCAUGCGACGCCGGGACGGCGUCCUCCUGGCGUCAAAUAUUCGUAGGAUAUGGAUGGGCUCGCGUGAGAUUAGCUAGUUGGUGGGGUAACGGCCCACCAAGGCGACGAUGUCUAGGGGCUCUGAGAGGAGAAUCCCCCACACUGGUACUGAGACACGGACCAGACUCCUACGGGAGGCAGCAGUAAGGAAUAUUGGUCAAUGGGGGCAACCCUGAACCAACCAUGCCGCGUGCAGGACGACUGCCCUAUGGGUUGUAAACUGCUUUUGCCGGGGAAUAAACCCCACUACGUGUAUUGGGCUGAACGUACCCGGAGAAUACGGAUCGGCUAACUCCGUGCCAGCAGCCGCGGUAAUACGGAGGAUCCGAGCGUUAUCCGGAUUUAUUGUGUUUAAAGGGUGCGUAGGCGGCACUUUAAGUCAGGGGUGAAAGACGGCAGCUCAACUGUCGCAGUGCCCUUGAUACUGAAGUGCUUGAAUGCGGUUGAAGACGGCGGAAUGAGACAAGUAGCGGUGAAAUGCAUAGAUAUGUCUCAGAGCACCGAUUGCGAAGGCAGCUGUCUAAGCUCGUUAUUGACGCUGAUGCACGAAAGCGUGCGGAUCGAACAGGAUUAGAUACUCUGAUAGUCCACGCUCCUAAACGAUGAUAACUCGAUGUAUGCGAUCUACCGUAAGCGUCCUCGCGAAAGCGUUAAGCUAUCCAACCUGGGGAGUACGC
rnacentral:rRNA from 1 species